UAGAAUUAUUAUCGAAGUCAGAGAUAGAAUUAUGGCAUCCAGAGCGAUUGAGAAAAACCAGAUUGUAUUGGAAAACCAACGUUUGGCGAAUGAGUUGAGUCUAGUUCAAUCACAACUGACAGACUCCCAUUCCAAGUUACGACAAUUCCACAACGAGUUAGCAACUACCAAAAGCAAACUCGAAGAAAAGAAAAGUCUUAUUACUGACAUUACGGAGAAAAAUCUCCGCUUGACAAAUGAAAAUUCGCGACUUAAGCGAAAAACUGAAGACAGGGAUAGAAUUAUCGAAGACAGCGAUAGAAUUAUGGCAUCCAGUCGAGCGAUUGAGAAGAACCUUGUGAUGGAUAAAGAACGCUUAGCGAAUGAGUUGACUCUGCUUCAAACACAACUGAGGUCCAGCUCCAGCCCGCAAAUGUUUCAAACUGUACACAUCGAGUUGGCAAUCACCAAAAACGAACUCGAAAAUAACAAACGUUUAAUGACUGGCAUUACGGAGAAAAAUCUCCAAUUGAAAAAAGACGAUUCGCGUCUCAGGCGGAAAAUCGAAGACAGAGAUAAAAUUAUGGCAUCUAGUGCGAUUGAGAAAAACCAGAUUGUAUUGGAAAAAGAACGUUUGGCAAAUGAGUUGAGUCUAGUUCAAUCACAACUGAAAGACUCGCAUUCCAACCUGCAAUUAUUCCAGAACGUACACGACGAGUUAGCAACUACCAAAAGGGAACUCGAAAAUAAAAAACGUCAAAUGACUGACAUUGAGUCAAAGCUAGAGUCAAAGAAUAGAACCAUUUCUGAACUUGAAACGGAAAUUCUCCGUUGGACCGAAAACGAUUUACAGCUGAGGCGAAAAUUGGAAGAAACUGAUCGUCUUCUCCAAUCCGGUCAGGCGGAAAUGGAAGAACUACGAGUAUCCCAGACCGAAAGGAUCGAGCGCUUACAGGAUCAAGUGAAAAGUCUAGAAGAGAAGAAGAAGAAAUGGAAGAAGCCGUUCGAAAAUUUGCCAAAAUGGAAGAUAUUUAAGCCAAAAGAAAUGAAACCGAAAUUGGCGGCAGAAGUCGGAUGAGGCAGCGAAGAGGUGCGAAUCCUCGGCUGACCCUCGGACGCCAUGGGAGUAAUGUAAAGAGGAUUGAAAACCAAUAUGGGGUAAAGGUUAUAGGUUUAAUAAACGUAAUUCAAAAUCUGCCGGUAACAAUGGAGUGCCCUGAACUGGACACGAGAGGAAACAUCUUUGCCAACGGUUAUUUGUUAAGUGAGCUCGGCAUCAACAAUGACGUAAGCACUCAUCGACCAUCUAACGAUAAAGAAAACAAGGACGUUACCAUUUGGGAAAAGUUAGAAAAAUGUCGUAGAGUGUACGAAGUUCUUCCAAAUUAAUUUCGCUAAAUGUUUUGUCUUGUUUUUUAAAUUAAAGUUAAUAAGAAUUGAAGCUGGACGUCAGUUUUGCCUAUCGGAAUAGUUAUUGCCUUGCGAUGACGUUGCCUCCUCGUGACAAUCCGAAGGGAUUGGCGGAUGAACCCGUCGACGGAGUUGGUUCGCUGGUCGCUGGUGUGAUGUAAGUGAAGACUUUCGAUUUUCCUGGCACUUGUAUAAAAGUUGAGUUAUCAUGACUCCUAUAUACGGUGAAAGGAAUUAGAUCGUCUUCACUCGCACGCCAGUGUACAGUUGACUAACACCUUGACGGGGGGUUUCAUUAUACCCUCAAACGAGUCCGUCAGUUUCUGACGUGCGUUGCGGGUGGAGGAAACAGCCGAGCAAGUGGGCGACUAUUUCGAUGGUAGACGAGCUGGUCCAGUUUCUUUUAUUUGUUUAUUUUCUUUUAAUUUUGUUUUUCUCUCUUUAUCUAUUCAAAUAAAAUCUCAUUUUAAAUUUCAAUUCUUUUAAUUGUUUCGUCAUUUAUUUUUCAAUGCGCAGCCGGAGAAGGAAGAUGCCUUUCAUAUGCAGCACAAUAUAAAGGAAAAAUAAACUUCUGGCAUCAGCAAUGAACAUGAUAGAGACGUGCAUGAAAUAUUGAUACGAAGGCCGGGGUAAACCAAACCAAACGUCAUAUACGUUAUCAUGUUAAAAACAUACGAUGAAAAAAGAAUCCGGAACUGCAUUCAGUAAAUAUUCGAUUAAAUAGUGAAUCAAAGAAAGAAAAAGAGCUCUUGAAACACGAUAGUCUCGGGAGAGUCUUCGCCACAACAUGUCAAUAAAACCACAAAAGCUUGAUACGGAGAAAAAGAUACUUUCCGACUGAUUAUUUUGGAAGCGGCGACAAGCCCUUUUUUUGUGGUGACGUGGCCAGCCAACAGUUUCCGAUGGAAAGGCAAGAACUUCAGUAACUGGCCAGCAGUUGGCGAGACAAGUUGCGACAGUGAUGGCGUGAUCGUUUAUCUUCUCGUUCAAGGACACCUCGUCCCAAUCGAAAAAUGGCUACCAAUUCAACGUAAAUGUUUCUCUUUCGAUGAAAUUCGACAGGACAUCCAUUUUAGGAAGUGGGGGUUACGGGGUCGUUUUUAGAGGAGAAUGGAACAAUAAAAUAGUUGCAGUCAAGCGAAUUGAAAAAA
rnacentral:misc_RNA from 1 species